GAUUAGUAUAAACGAGUGGCAAACGGAUGACUAGGAUGUUAUAAUUUGAGGACGUUAUAAAUACGAAAGAUGGGCAGAGAAGGUAUGAAAGCCCAUUUUCCAUAAGUAAACCUAAAUUCUAAACCCUAGGAAUUGAAACAUCUUAGUACUAGGAGGAAAAGAAAUCAAGCGAGAUUCCGUGAGUAGUGGCGAGCGAAAGCGGAUAUAGACUAUGGAAUCCCGCCUUUAGGGGCGGGGAUGGAAUUGAAAACCAAAGAGGGUAACAGGCCCGUAGAUAAAAUCGAUGAUUCCGUAGUUCUUGGAGUAGAACUAUUUGAAGAAAGGUGCUCCAUAUAUCUAAAACUAAAUAUUAUAACAUACCAAUAGUGAAUUAGUACUGUGAAGGAAAGUUGAAAGAGAUAAUAGUGAAAUAGAGCCUGAAAUUUGCCAUCUCACAAGCAGACGAAAUUCGUUGUACCUUUUGUAUAAUGGGUUCGCAAGAUAAAUAUUUGGCAAACUUAAGUUAAUAGACGUAGGUGUAGUGAAAACGAGUUUGAAUAGAGCGUUAGUCAAAUAGAGCCCGAAACCAAGUGAUCUAGCCAUGGGCAGUUUGAAACCCGUUUAAUAGCGGGCGGAGGAACGAACCGGUGAUUGUGGCAAAAAUCUCGGAUGACCUGUGGCUAGGGGUGAAAAGCCAAUCGAACUUGGAAAUAGCUGGUUUUCUGCGAAAACUAUUGAAGUAGUGCGUCAUAUGGCGUGCACAUAGUGCCGUAUAUUCUUACACAGUAAAGCACUGAAUGGGUUUAGGGGUUAGGCCUACUAAAUUCAACCAAACUAUGAAGGUGUAAGGAGAAAAUAUGAUAGACAGACAGUGGGCGAGAAGGUCCAUUGUCAAGAAGGGAACAACCUAGAUCAGAAGUUAAGGUCAUAAAUAUAAUCUAAGUGUAAAAGGGAAUUUGUAAAUUAAGACAAUGAGAAAGUAGGCUUGGAACCAGCCAUCUUUGAAAGAUUACGUAACAGUUCACUCAAUAAAUUUAUAGAUCCCAAAAAUUAUGGUGGCUUAAGCUUUAAUACCCCCUAGUCUCACUAGGGGGUAUGAAACCGAAACUCUGAAUAAAUACCAUAAGGGGCGAGGCCCCGGUGGCUUAUAGUGGUAGCAGAACGUACUGUAAAUAAUAACCAUCGAGUGGGACCGACUACGUCGGUCCCAUAGGCCGAUGGUUGGUUAUUGCGAAAGCGUUUAUCAGGAGUGAUAAUGCGAACAUGAGUAAAAAACAGUGUGAGGAUCACUGCUCACGGCCCAAGGUUUCCAAUCAUAGGAUUAUCCGGAUUGGGUUAUACAGUCCCUAAGAGGGCUUCAGCCGACGGUAUCAGGCCCCAUAGGAGCCUGUGCCUCGGUGCUAUUUCGAUGGGAGUAUUUAAUAACAAGUGUCUAAGAUAUUAUAAGAAAUUAUUCAGCCCAAUAAAUUGGGCUCGGCUGUACUAAAACUAACACCAGUGGGCAUAAAAGUGAUGGUAUAAUUUAUCUUAAGGAACUCGGCAAAAUGUCCCUGUAAGUUCGCAAGAAGGGGAGCCAGCUAUAGACAGAGGUAACCUGGACUAGGUUAUCUAAUUUGACUGGUCUCAGAAAAGAGGGGGUGUCGACUGUUUACCAAAAACAUAGCUUCCAGCAAAGGGCCAAGGGCCUGAAGUAUUGGAGGUGAGGCCUGCCCAAUGGUUGUAUCUAAAACCAAGUAAUAAAAAAAGUUAGCUUGGGUAAGGACAAUUGAAUGGCCGCGGUAAAUCUGACCGUGAUAAUGUAGCGCAAUCAAUAGCCAAUUAAUUGUUGGCAAGUAUGAAUGGCUUAACGAAUGCCCCGCUGUCUCAAGAUAAAAACCAAUGAAAUUGAAUUCGUAGUGAAGAUGCUACGUAUAAAUUGUUAGACGAGAAGACCCCAUUGAGCUUUACUGGAGACUUAUAUGGUUCUUUACCAAUUAAUUGUGUAGACUAUGUGGGUAAACCCUCGCGUAUGCCGGCACGGAAGCUACGCUUCCAUGCCGCAUGGGGUUAUAAUGCGAUAUCCGAGGACGAAGUCCCGGAUAUCCUUAAUGAAAAACCACUCUUUAAUUAUAAAAAGAACUAAAAUAAUGGAAAGGUAUAUGUCAGACAGUUUGGUUGGGGCGACCGCCUUCUAAAGAGUAACGAAGGCGUACAUAAGGUUAAUAAUAUAAUAGUAUAAAGUUUAAAGCCUGACAGUAAGGAGGACGUCCGAGCUGACACGCCGUAGGCAGCUGCCUAUUCCGUGGGUUAUAAUGACCCGUUAGCUUAGAAUGGGAUAGCUAACGAGCAACGAAUAAAAGUUACCAUGGGGAUAACAGCGUAAUAUCGUUUGAGAGUUCAUAUCGACGACGAUGUUUGCGACCUCGAUGUUGAAUUGCGGGAUCCUGGAGGUGCAGCCGCUUCCAAGGGUUGGACUGUUCGUCCAUUAAAGCCGUACAUGAUUUGAGUUCAGACCGGCGUGAGCCAGGUCGGUUUCUAUCUACAAUUUAUGUAGGAAACAUUAGAUAUAACUAUAUUCUAGUACGAAAGGACCGAAUGAUUAGUUAUCCGCUGGUGAACCAAUUGUAGUUAAUCAAGGUCGAUGGCGAGGAAGCUACGCUUCCAUGCCGCCUGAAGUAUUACUGUUGGGUGGCUACGAUAAUUAAAAUAAUCACUGAAUGCAUCUCAAGUGAGAAGUUAAAUAUCAUUCUAUGUUUCCAAUAUAUAGACUGUUUGAGAAUAAAACGUGGAUAGGAUCUGUGUUUAUUUGCAGGCCACGCCUCUAUUCUAAGCUAAAGAUUACUAAUGGUCUAAUUUACUAAUCAU
rnacentral:rRNA from 1 species